AGCUAUGCGCAGUGGCAGUAUCGUAGCCAAUGAGUUUUAUCCAAGGCACGAUUAUUGCUAAUUGAUAAGAAAACGUAAUUAAAAUCAAAAGGAAGUAAAAAUACAUUUACAAUACAGUACUGUAUUUACAAAAGUAUCUGCAUAUAUGUAGACCUG
rnacentral:snRNA from 13 species